UACGUAGGGUGCGAGCGUUGUCCGGAAUUAUUGGGCGUAAAGAGCUUGUAGGCGGUUUGUCGCGUCUGCCGUGAAAAUCCGGGGCUCAACCCCGGACUUGCGGUGGGUACGGGCAGACUAGAGUGUGGUAGGGGAGACUGGAAUUCCUGGUGUAGCGGUGAAAUGCGCAGAUAUCGGGAAGAACACCCGUGGCGAAGGCGGUUCUCUGGGACGGUACUGACGCUGAGACGCGAAAGCGUGGGGAGCGAACAGG
rnacentral:rRNA from 1 species